AGCAGCCGCGGUAAUUCCAGCUCCAAUAGCGUAUAUUAAAGUUGUUGCAGUUAAAAAGCUCGUAGUUGAAUUUCGAGACCGGUUUAUUGGUCGUGCUUUUGUACGUACUGGUAUUAUUGGUUUCUCCUUUCUGACGAAUCUUAAUGCCAUUAAUUUGGUGUUUUGGGGAAUCAGGACUGUUACUUUGAAAAAAUUAGAGUGUUUAAAGCAGGCUCACGCUUGAAUACAUUAGCAUGGAAUAACGAAAUAGGACGUUUGAUUUUAUUUUGUUGGUUUCUAGGAUCGACGUAAUGAUUAAUAGGGAUAGUUGGGGGCAUUAGUAUUCAAUUGUCAGAGGUGAAAUUCUUGGAUUUAUUGAAGACUAACUACUGCGAAAGCAUUUGCCAAGGAUGUUUUCAUUAAUCAAGAACGAAAGUUAGGGGAUCGAAGACGAUCAGAUACCGUCGUAGUCUUAACCAUAAACUAUGCCGACUAGGGAUCGGAUGAUGUUAAUUUUUUAAUGACUCAUUCGGCGCCUUACG
rnacentral:rRNA from 1 species